CACGUAGGGGGCGAGCGUUGUCCGGAUUUAUUGGGCGUAAAGAGCUCGUAGGCGGCUCGGUAAGUCGGGUGUGAAACCUCCAGGCUCAACCUGGAGACGCCACCCGAUACUGCCGUGGCUAGAGUCCGGUAGAGGAGCGUAGAAUCCUGGUGUAGCGGUGAAAUGCGCAGAUAUCAGGAGGAAUACCAGCGGCGAAGGCGG
rnacentral:rRNA from 1 species